GAGGAUCAUGCAAGUCGAGCGAACAUUUAAGGAGGUUGCCCUGACGUUAGCGGCGGACGGUGAUGUAACACGUGGCAACCUACCUUUAGGCCGGGAUAACUCCGGGAAACCGGGGCUAAUACCGAAUAAUCUAUUUCACUUCAUGGUGAAAUACUGAAAGACGGUCUCCGAUGUCGCUAUAGACGGGCCCUGGGCAUUACUACUCUGGGAGGUAACGGCUCACCAAGGCGACCAUUCGGUAGCGACCUGAGAGGUGAUCUGACCACUGGACUAGACACGGACAGACUCCUACUGGAGGCAGCACCGGGAAUCUUCCACAAUGGGCAAACCUAUGAGCAACUGACAUGAGGAAGAAUGGUUUCGAACUUAAACUUAUGUUGUAAGGGAAGAACAUGCCACUACCAUCUUCAUCCUUUGACGGCCCUUAUUGGAAAGCCUGUUAUUACGUGGCAACAGGCAUGGAAUACCCUGGGAGGGGAAUUUGCCGGAUUAAUUUGGCCAAGUCCCCCGUGGCCCUUAACCCUUAAAUGAAUGCCCCCGGUAAUCCAGGGGUUUUCAAAGGGGGGUUUAGGAAGGAAUAUGGGGCAACCCUAUUAGUUUUUGGGGCGCCCCGGGGUUAAUCUGUGGCCCCCUUUGCCUAAGGGUCAACCAAAGCUUUCCUGGGGCUCCAAAUUUCUUUCCGCUUGGAACCUUUUUUUCAAACCCCUUUAGACCCCCGGGGGGUUUAAAAAA
rnacentral:rRNA from 1 species